UCAUAACCCUUUGUUGUCCGACUCUGUUGCCUCCGGGGCGACCCUGCCUUCGGGCGGGGGCUCCGGGUGGACACUUCAAACUCUUGCGUAACUUUGCAGUCUGAGUAAACUUAAUUAAUAAAUUAAAACUUUUAACAACGGAUCUCUUGGUUCUGGCAUCGAUGAAGAACGCAGCGAAAUGCGACAAGUAAUGUGAAUUGCAGAAUUCAGUGAAUCAUCGAAUCUUUGAACGCACAUUGCGCCCCCUGGUAUUCCGGGGGGCAUGCCUGUUCGAGCGUCAUUUCACCACUCAAGCCUCGCUUGGUAUUGGGCAACGCGGUCCGCCGCGUGCCUCAAAUCGUCCGGCUGGGUCUUCUGUCCCCUAAGCGUUGUGGAAACUAUUCGCUAAAGGGUGUUCGGGAGGCUACGCCGUAAAACAACCCCAUUUCUAAGGUUGACCUCGGAUCAGGUAGG
rnacentral:rRNA from 1 species